rnacentral:misc_RNA from 1 species
UCUCCAACACCGCCCUCCGUCCCUGUCUUUUCCGUCUGUACGGACUGUGCAUCUCUGUGCAGGUAUCUGUGUCUGCGUAUAUAUACACACACGUAGACAUAUAUGCAUAUAUGUAUAUGUGUUUGUGUGUGUGUGUGCGUGGAGUUGCAUUCGGAUGCCACAUUAUGCGAGCCGAGGUACUUCGUCGUUUUCGGUCUCUUCGCCUUGCCUGAUCCGGCUCCGUUUACGUCGCUGCCACCGUCGCCGUGGGAGCCACCACGCCGAUCAACUCAUGAGCACGCAGGUGAACGCCCACGCACACGCACAGCGAGAACACACCACGUAUAUGUUUCCCGUGCCGGCCGGCUUUGCGGUGCACAACCGCAACACUGGUUCAAAUAACAGUGAAGGCGACGGGCAUGGUAGUCGCGUCGAUGAGCGAAGCACCGUCUUGGGGCUUGUGGCUGGCGUCGGCGGAGGCUCAACGACGGAAGCAGAUGUGGUGAGCGCAGUGAUAACGACGUCCCUCUUGCCGCCUGGCGGCGUUAAUGGAGUGGGGGCUGCCUCGUUUGUCUCGCCCAUCGUGGGCUCGCGAGACCGGGUUUGCUUCCAGCACUUCCUCAUCGCGGCGGCGGCGUCGGCGCUCGCGGCGGUCCUCGUCGUCACGUACGUGUGGCAGUCGACCUCUGCGUUCAACAUCGACCCGGUCACCGGCAAGGUGCGCCCGCACUCGUUCCAGUACUUCGUCUACUGUUUUGUGGGCGGCAUCGCCGCGGGGAUGGUGCACCUCGUCGUUGCCCCAAUCGACAUCCUCAAGUGCCGGGUGCAGGUGGGCGAGUACCGAAGCUUUAAGGACGGCUUCGUGCACCUAUUCCGCGUUGAGGCCGGCGGCUCAGUCUACCGCGCGCUGCCGCUGUUCUUCCGCGGGUGGCUGCCGAUGCUGUGGGGGUACUGCAUCCAAGGCUCGAUCAAGUUCUCUCUCUACGAAAUAGUCAAGUACGUGCUGCUGAUCGCCUUUCUGGAACCGUCAGUGGAGGCGAAGGCGGCAGCUGCUGCCGCGGGAGGCGUGGCCAACUCGCUCGCGUCGUCGUCAGCGGCGCAUGUGUCCGGCGUCUACCAGUUCUUCGUCUUUCUCUUCUCCAGCUGCCUGGCCGAGGUGGUUGCCGAUCUCGGUCUGGCGCCGUGGGAGGCGGUAAAGAUUCGCAUGCAGACCUCGCCGUCGUUUCCGGUGCACCUCCGCAGCGCCCUGCCGCGCAUGUGGGAGACGGAGGGGCUGCACGGUUUUUACAGGGGGCUCGUGCCGCUCUGGGGCAGGCAGGUGCCGUACACGAUGAUGAAGUUCUCCUCAUUCGAAUUCGUCGUCGUCGGGCUGCAGUCCCUCUUCCAUAGCCUUGGCGUCAUGGACGCCGCAGAGCCUGGGGUCUUGGGCAAGCUGGUCGUGAGUUUGCUGGCCGGCGUGCUGGCGGGGCUGCUGUGCGGCGUUGUGUCGCACCCGGCGGACACGGUGCUGUCAAAGAUGAACCAGCGGUCAUCUGCGCCCACAUCGAGUGCGGUGCCGGCGCUGGCCAAUACGCUUGCGGACGCCACAUGCGGCAGCGUGGGCCACGGCAGAGCCGGCGCCGCCCACGGUGGCGCCAUGCACGGUGUCCUCGAGGUGAUGCAUGAGCUAGGGUGGCGCGGCAUGUGGAAAGGCUUGGCCCCUCGUCUGUUGAUGGUGGUUUCGCUGACGGCACUGCAGUGGGUGACGUACGACGGCUUCAAGGUGUGGGCUGGACUGCCCACCUCCGGUGAUGUAGAGAAGUGAUACCGCAUCUGUAGCGGCAUGGGACGGUGGGGUCGGCGGAGGACAACAACAGCGGCGACGACGGUAGACAAGACAGCCAAGCCGAAUCUGAUGAAAGGCGGUCGGCGUGCGCGCGUAUGGGAUCAUGUAUGGGCCUGUGCACGCAAGCACAUACAGCUAUGGCGGUUACCGAUGCACCCCCUUGUACCCUUGGCCAAAGG